CUGUACAAUGAACUAAUGUCAUCCAUAUGAAACAUGAGGGAGUGGUGACUGCGCUGAUUUCACAAUAUACUGUAAUAAACAGUUCUUCAGGUGUUUAUCAGGAGUUUAUCGGGUGGUUUUAUCGGGUGUUUAUCGGGUGUUUAUCGGGAGUUUAUCAGGUGUUUAUCAGGAGUUUAUCAGGUGUUUAUCAGGAGUUUAUCAGGAGUUUAUCAGGAGUUUAUCAGGUGUUUAUCAGGAGUUUAUCAGGAGUUUAUCAGGAGUUUAUCAGGUGUUUAUCAGGUGUUUUAUCAGGAGUUUAUCAGGAGUUUAUCAGGUGUUUAUCAGGAGUUA
ensembl:lncRNA